GUCCAUGCCGUAAACUAUGCAUACAAGCUGUAGUGGGGUUUUUCUCCUGCUGUGGCGAAGCUAACGCAAUUAGUAUGCCGCCUGGGGAGUACGGUCGCAAGACUAAAACUCAAAGGAAUUGACGGGGGCCCGCACAAGCGGUGGAUUAUGUGGUUUAAUUCGAAGCAACGCGCAGAACCUUACCUAGGCUUGACAUCCCUUGACAAACGUGGAAACACGUCUUUGUAGCAAUACACAAGGAGACAGGUGCUGCAUGGCUGUCGU
rnacentral:rRNA from 1 species